rnacentral:misc_RNA from 1 species
UAGCAUAUUUCUAUGAAAUCUUUUGAUGGCUGUCUGCUGUCUGCUUAAGUGGGCAUUGAUGGCAUGUUAAUUUUUAAAAAGUUUGUACUUCAAAUAUAGGAACUAUCUUGCUUUCGGCGGAUUAUUCUCAGUUGGAACUUCGAAUAUUGGCGCAUUUGAGCGAAGACGCAGGUCUUUGUUCUGUUCUAGCCAACCCGAUGGCGAUGUUUUCCGCGGCAUUGUAUCGGUUUGGAAAAAGAAAAAGCAAGAAGAAGUCAGAGACGAUGAAAGGCAAAAAGCGAAACAAAUCUGCUACGGGAUUGUUUACGGCAUGGGAUGUAAAAGUUUAGCCGAACAGUUGGAAGUCGGGGAAGAAGAGGCUCAACUCUUUGUGAACACUUUCCACGCAAGGUCAACCGAUGUGGAAAAAAAUUCAGGAGGAAAAUGAAUUGAGCUGCUGACAUUGGCCUAUUCUGGAAUACAUCAGUUUGCAUCAUAAUCAGAAAGGGAAAGAAUGUGUUAGCAGCAAUUGCCUUUUCAGCUGCCUUAAACUUUAAGCAGAUGGAGUUGUAUCAUGCAAUACUUCUAUUUGCUGGCUUCUAUUUGCUGGCUUCCUGUCAACCUAAAGGUUCCUCACUUCCCUCCCAACUAAAGAAUUUGGUCCAGAUUGGCGCUGCCACAGUGGCGACCUUUGCAAUCAUUUGCGUGGAAUCUUUGAAGACUAUGUCGCCAAUUUUUGGUGCACGCUAAAUGUUGUGAUCAAAAUCAAACGACUAUUAAACCCAACCUCAAUCGCCUCGGGAACUAUCACCUAGGCCAUGCCCGUGCCUGAAAGAAAAAGUCAGGACGUUGAUUCGAACGGAUUCGAAUGCAACGAGCACUAAGUACGGUCACAUUAUUGGAGGAAUGACCGUGUGCUUGGUUCGUGAUUUGGAGUCACAAGUGAUAGCUGCAAGCUGAUAUCACUCGAACCACUGCACCAACCCCACUAAGCGUAUACUUACCUAUCAUACUUACCAUACGAAAUUUGCUUCAUCAAGUCUUUUAUACUGUCUCAUAGAUGAUCGAAAAAAGCUGCAGCUCAUUAUGGCGUCAGUUUAGCUUUAAUGCUAAAUUUCGCAAACACGGUGAACUAGAUUGACAAUAAUAAAAAAUGAACUUUAUUUGUCACUUGCUGUGUUACUUAUUAUUAAGAAUCUCAAUUAUGCUAAACAAAUUUUGACACGCAAAAAAUGCUACAAUAGAAACGGAAACGGUUGCACUCACGGAUCGUGACUGGAACAUGUAUACCAAUCCCGCCAUAAGACCUAGAAGUUACUCUUCGGUUGCCACCAGGUGGCAUAUGAGUAGCAUAUUUCUAUGAAUAUGAAAUCUUUUGAUGGCUGUCGUUCGGCCCGUUAAAUUGGCGAUUGUAUGGAAGUGAAAAUGACUAGCUGGUUGGUUAC